rnacentral:rRNA from 1 species
AACGCCAAGAACCUUACCAAGGCUUGACAUGAACCGGAAAGGCGUAGAAAUACGUCCCCCACUUGUGGUCGGUUUACAGGUGGUGCAUGGUUGUCGUCAGCUCGUGUCGUGAGAUGUUGGGUUAAGUCCCGCAACGAGCGCAACCCUCGUUCUAUGUUGCCAGCACGUGAUGGUGGGGACUCAUAGGAGACUGCCGGGGUCAACUCGGAGGAAGGUGGGGAUGACGUCAAAUCAUCAUGCCCCUUAUGUCUUGGGCUUCACGCAUGCUACAGUGGCCGGUACAAAGGGUUGCGAUACUGUGAGGUGGAGCUAAUCCCAAAAAGCCGGUCUCAGUUCGGAUUGGGGUCUGCAACUCGACCCCAUGAAGUCGGAGUCGCUAGUAAUCGCAGAUCAGCAACGCUGCGGUGAAUACGUUCCCGGGCCUUGUACACACCG